GCCUCAACUUAAAAGAAAAUUAAAAUUUAAUUAAUUUGCUCAGCGAGUUAUGUUGGUGCACUGAGCGAAUAAUCUCCCUUAUAGUUAAGCGCAUGAUUAAUUAGCUUAGCGAGAAACAGGUGACAAUAUUCCGAAUGAUGUUUAAGUUCUUGUACAAUUGACUACACAACUUUCUACUCACUAUUACAACUUUUCAAUAAGGAAACACAUUGUUUCAUAAAU
rnacentral:lncRNA from 1 species